AAGAAACAGUUCAAAAGAACCGAUCAAUGCAAAUGACUCGGACUUCAUAUAACUAGUUCAGACUAAAGUAAUCGAGCACCGCUGAAGCGUCAACGUCCUUAGCCUUCUGGCUAACCGCUCUGAGAAGAUGGCAUCUCCGGACCAACCUGACCACCAAAAUCAGAACGCUGCUCCAGAUAAAGAAGACGCGCCUCCAAGAGAAGCGCUGGUCCUGUCCCUGUGAUUUUAAUGAACAGGAGUGGGACUGAAGCCCUGUGUUUCUGACUCCCAGGAUCUGCCAGGAGGACCGACCGACCGGCAGGCAGCAUUUCAUUUGGAAACGCCUAGCACUGACAACGUUUCCUCAGAUUUUUCUAGGAGUGUUUGAUCAAAUGAAUAAGGCGGAAAGAAAAAGU